GUCGCAGGCCGGGUGACCGCGGGCCUUCGGGCUCGAGGAAAGUCCGGACACCGAAGGGCAGGACGCUCCCGCGAGGGAGGCGGCGAAAGCCGACGGACAGUGGCACAGAAAACAGACCGCCGCCAGCGCAUCUCCGGAGACGCUGACGGUAAGGGUGAAACGGUGGGGUAAGAGCUCACCAGCGGCCCUGGCGACAGGACCGGCUCGCCAAACCCCGUCCGGUGCAAGGCGAACAGGCUCCGCUGACGCAGCCCGCCGAGGAGCCGGGUAGCCGCACAGAUGGAUGGUCACCCUCGACAGAAUCCGGCUUACAGGCCUGCUAACGAA
rnacentral:RNase_P_RNA from 1 species